rnacentral:tRNA from 1 species
GCGAGAGUGGCGGAAUUGGUAGACGCGCGGGGUUUAGGACCCCGUGGUUUUUAACCGUGGGGGUUCGAGUCCCCCCUCUCGCACCA